AAUAAGAUAAUGGGGAAGGGCAAAGAAAAAGAGUUAGAGCUAAGAAAUGAAAAGAAGGUCCCUAGUUGUUUGAGUCAAAAUAAAAAGAUAGUUAUUCAUUGGGUGAGUGAUGUAAGUGGGUGUUAUUGUUAUUUUGGGUGUUGGGUGAUGUAAUAUGAGGAUAGAACUUGGGAUCACUUGAGAAAAUGGUAGAAUGAUGAGAAUGGAUCUAUGUAUGCAUGAAUUGCUUCUAGUAUUAGAUAACUUUUGCAUAUUGAUCAAGCUCAUUGUUCUUGAGUGAUAACCACCUUGAAAUGAUGCAUUUAAACCCUCCUCUCAUUCAUAUUAGACCAUUUACUUACCUAGCAAAAUGACUGAGAUCAUGUGCCCAUUUGUGAGAAUUCACCUUGUGUGUGUGUGUGUGUGAAUCAAUGUGAGGGCUGGUAAAGAGAGCAUGUUGGUUGAUAGGCAUUGCAUCUUGUGUAGAGGCAUAAGAGUAUUGAUAGGCCUAGAGAAGCUAGAGUAUAAUAAGAGAGU
rnacentral:lncRNA from 1 species